GGGGUGAUAGCUCAGUUGGGAGAGCGUACGACUGAAGUUAAAACUUUCAGUUUAGUUAAAUCGUAAGGUCGCUGGUUCGAUCCCGGCUCGCCCCA